rnacentral:rRNA from 1 species
UGAACGCUGGCGGCGUGCUUAACACAUGCAAGUCGUACGAGAACGCUUCUGCUUGCAGAAGUUAGUAAAGUGGCGUACGGGUGAGUAACGCGUGGGUAAUCUACCUCCGAAUUGGGGAUAACAUUGCGAAAGCGAUGCUAAUACCGAAUGAUAUCCGUCGAUUUUCGAAUCUUUGGAUCAAAGGUGGCCUCUUCAUGAAAGCUACUGUUUGGGGAUGAGCCCGCGUACCAUUAGCUUGUUGGUAGGGUAAUGGCCUACCAAGGCAACGAUGGUUAGCUGGUCUGAGAGGAUGAUCAGCCACACUGGAACUGACACACGGUCCAGACUCCUACGGGAGGCAGCAGUGAGGAAUUUUGCGCAAUGGGGGAAACCCUGACGCAGCAACGCCGCGUGAGUGAUGAAGGCUUUCGGGUCGUAAAGCUCUGUCAAGUGGGAAGAACUUGCAUAUGGCCAAUACCCAUUUGCACUGACGGUACCACUGAAGGAAGCACCGGCUAACUCC